UGAGGAAUUUUCCGCAAUGGGCGAAAGCCUGACGGAGCGACGCCGCGUGGGUGAUGAAGGUUUUCGGAUCGUAAAGCCCUGUCGGGGGGGAAGAAACCCCGCCUUGUGAAUAAUGAGGCGGGCUGACGGUACCCCCUAAGGAAGCUCCGGCUAACUACGUGCCAGCAGCCGCGGUAAUACGUAGGGAGCAAGCGUUAUCCGGAAUCACUGGGCGUAAAGAGCUCGUAGGCGGCCCUGUAAGUCACAUGUUAAAUCCCCGGGCUUAACCCGGGAACCGCGUGUGAUACUGCUAGGCUAGAGGACGGGAGAGGAAAGUGGAAUUCCAGGUGUAGCGGUGAAAUGCAUAGAUAUCUGGAAGAACACCAGUGGCGAAGGCGGCUUUCUGGACCGUUUCUGACGCUGAGGAGCGAAAGCUAGGGGAGAGAACGG
rnacentral:rRNA from 1 species